GAUGAACGCUGGCGGCGUGCCUAAUACAUGCAAGUCGAGCGAACAGAAUAAGGUAGACUUGCUCCUUUAGGACGUUAGCGGCGGACGGGUGAGGUAACACGUGGGUAACCUACCUAUAAGACUGGGAUAAACUUCGGGAAACCGGAGCUAAUACCGGAUAACCAGUUUGGAACCGCUAUGGUUCUAAAGUUGAAAGAUGGUUUUCGCUAUCACUUAUAGAUGGACCCGCGCCGUAUUAGCUAGUUGGUAAGUAACGGCUUACCAAGGCGACGAUACGUAGCCGACCUGAGAGGGUGA
rnacentral:rRNA from 1 species